GAUCCACUCCGAAACGUACAUUUCAGCACGCAUUAUUGAGCCACGCAACCCCACACCUCAAUGUCACUGCACGUACAUUUUCUGCACUGUAGCUUGAGAUCCGAAGAGGUUCCUUUCUUCCACUCAUCAAAUUCACCUGAUACACACGUCAACUAAACUUUUGCACUAAGAUCUAGCAGCGAAAUUUUUGAUCGACAUUUCUGCAUCGUUGUUGGAAUUAUACAUACAUUUUCUGAUUUUCAGGUUCAGUAGAUGUCUGUUCGUGUUACAAAUACUGCUGGUUUGCUAAGAAAAUGGCAUGUUCAUCAUCUAUCAAACAAUGAAUAGCAACGGUUGAGUUAGCAAUACCUCAACUCUGUCUAGAACUCUUCUAGAGUUCAAAUACUUAAGUCUUGACGAAGUUUGGUCAGCUAGAACUCCCUGACGUGAUUGCUUACGGGAAACUAAAUAGAUACAAUGGUCAGCAAACAACAUUUGUUGACCUACUUGUAUCUUUUGGUCUACAUAUUGUUGUCCUCAGGAGUUAUUUUGUACAACAAGUGGGUUCUCUCGCCAAAAUAUUUCAACUUCCCAUUUCCAAUAACGCUUACCAUGAUUCAUAUGGGCUUUUCAAGCUUGGUUGCAUUUUUUCUAAUACGCGUUUUCAAGGUAUAGGAUUUUCGGAACUCCUUUUGCUAUUUUCAUAUUUUGUCAUAUUACGCCAAUGUUUGUUGGUAGACUGACUUGUGGUGUGAUGGUUUAAGUUGAUAGUGAAGGCUGUAAACUUAUGUUGGUUUUUUCCACUGACCUUGCAUUGUUAAUUACAAGAGUGUUAGCUGAGACAAAUGCAAGAGAAAGUCAUUACUUUCAAGAAAAGAGA